CCUACGUGCGGCUGCAGUGAGGAAUAUUGGUCAAUGGGCGCGAGUCUGAACCAGCCAAGCAGCGUGAAGGAUGACUGCCCUAUGGGUUGUAAACUUCUUUUAUAAAGGAAUAAAGUUAGACACGUGUGUUUUUCUGUACGUACUUUAUGAUUAAGGAUCGGCUAACUCCGUGCCAGCAGCCGCGGUAAUACGGAGGAUCCGAGCGUUAUCCGGCUUUCUUGGGUUUAAAGGGUGCGUAGGUGGGUUGAUAAGUUAGUGGUGAAAGUUUGUGGCUUAACUCUAGAAUUGCAAUUGAUACUGGCGACCUAGAGAACAGAUGAGGUAGGCGGAAUGCAUGGUGUAGCGGUGAAAUGCUUAGAGAUCACGAAGAACACCGAUUGCGAAGGCAGCUUACUAAUCUGCCACUGACGUUGAGGCACGAAAGUGUGGGGAGCAAACAGGAUUAGAUACCCUUGUAGUC
rnacentral:rRNA from 1 species